rnacentral:rRNA from 1 species
CCUACGGGAGGCUGCAGUGAGGAAUAUUGGUCAAUGGACGGAAGUCUGAACCAGCCAUGCCGCGUGCAGGAAGACGGCUCUAUGAGUUGUAAACUGCUUUUGUACAAGGGUAAACCUGAAUACGUGUAUUCAGCUGAAAGUACUGUACGAAUAAGGAUCGGCUAACUCCGUUCCAGCAGCCGCGGUAAUACGGAGGAUCCAAGCGUUAUCCGGAUUUGUUGGGUUUAAAGGGUGCGUAGGCGGAUUGAUAAGUUAGAGGUGAAAUGUCCGCGCUUAACUCGGGAACUGCCUUUAAUACUGGCGAUCUAGAGAGUAUAUGAGGUAGGCGGAAUUGAUGGUGUAGCGGUGAAAUGCGUAGAGAUCAGACAGAACAUCGAUUGCGAAGGCAGCUUACCAAUCUAUAUCUGACGUUGAGGCACGAAAGCGUGGGGAGCAAACAGGAUUAGAUACCCUGGUAGUC